AGUGAACGCUGGCGGUAGGCCUAACACAUGCAAGUCGAACGGCAGCACAGUAAGAGCUUGCUCUUACGGGUGGCGAGUGGCGGACGGGUGAGGAAUACAUCGGAAUCUACCUCUUCGUGGGGGAUAACGUAGGGAAACUUACGCUAAUACCGCAUACGACCUACGGGUGAAAGCAGGGGAUCUUCGGACCUUGCGCGAUUGAAUGAGCCGAUGUCGGAUUAGCUAGUUGGCGGGGUAAAGGCCCACCAAGGCGACGAUCCGUAGCUGGUCUGAGAGGAUGAUCAGCCACACUGGAACUGAGACACGGUCCAGACUCCUACGGGAGGCAGCAGUGGGGAAUAUUGGACAAUGGGCGCAAGCCUGAUCCAGCCAUACCGCGUGGGUGAAGAAGGCCUUCGGGUUGUAAAGCCCUUUUGUUGGGAAAGAAAAGCAGCAGGUUAAUACCCCGCUGUUCUGACGGUACCCAAAGAAUAAGCACCGGCUAACUUCGUG
rnacentral:rRNA from 1 species